rnacentral:rRNA from 1 species
UGGCUCAGAACGAACGCUGGCGGCAGGCCUAAUACAUGCAAGUCGAGCGCGCCCUUCGGGGUGAGCGGCGGACGGGUGAGUAACGCGUGGGAAUAUGCCCUUCUCUAAGGAAUAGCCUCUGGAAACGGAGAGUAAUACCUUAUACGCCCUUUGGGGGAAAGAUUUAUCGGAGAAGGAUUAGCCCGCGUUAGAUUAGGUAGUUGGUGGGGUAAUGGCCUACCAAGCCUACGAUCUAUAGCUGGUUUGAGAGGAUGAUCAGCCACACUGGGACUGAGACACGGCCCAGACUCCUACGGGAGGCAGCAGUAGGGAAUCUUAGACAAUGGGGGCAACCCUGAUCUAGCCAUGCCGCGUGUGUGAUGAAGGCCCUAGGGUCGUAAAGCACUUUCGCCAGAGAUGAUAAUGACAGUAUCUGGUAAAGAAACCCCGGCUAACUCCGUGCCAGCAGCCGCGGUAAUACGGAGGGGGUUAGCGUUGUUCGGAAUUACUGGGCGUAAAGCGCACGUAGGCGGAUUAGUAAGUUAGAGGUGAAAUCCCAGGGCUCAACCCUGGAACUGCCUUUAAUACUGCUAGUCUUGAGUUCGAGAGAGGUAAGUGGAAUUCCGAGUGUAGAGGUGAAAUUCGUAGAUAUUCGGAGGAACACCAGUGGCGAAGGCGGCUUACUGGCUCGAUACUGACGCUGAGGUGCGAAAGUGUGGGGAGCAAACAGGAUUAGAUACCCUGGUAGUCCAC